CCUCUCAUGGCGUAGGGGUAACGCGACCUAACUUUAAGGGCAGGGAGUCUUGAGUUCAAUUCUCACUGAGAAGA
rnacentral:tRNA from 1 species